AUUGAACGCUGGCGGCAUGCUUUACACAUGCAAGUCGAACGGUAACAGGUCUUCGGCUGCUGACGAGUGGCGAACGGGUGAGUAAUACAUCGGAACGUGCCUAGUAGUGGGGGAUAACUACUCGAAAGAGUAGCUAAUACCGCAUGAGAUCUACGGAUGAAAGCAGGGGACCUUCGGGCCUUGUGCUACUAGAGCGGCUGAUGGCAGAUUAGUUAGUUGGUGGGGUAAAGGCUUACCAAGCCUGCGAUCUGUAGCUGGUCUGAGAGGACGACCAGCCACACUGGGACUGAGACACGGCCCAGACUCCUACGGGAGGCAGCAGUGGGGAAUUUUGGACAAUGGGCGAAAGCCUGAUCCAGCAAUGCCGCGUGCAGGAUGAAGGCCCUCGGGUUGUAAACUGCUUUUGUACGGAACGAAAAGCCUGGGGCUAAUAUCCCCGGGUCAUGACGGUACCGUAAGAAUAAGCACCGGCUAACUACGUG
rnacentral:rRNA from 1 species